rnacentral:lncRNA from 1 species
AUGUCUGCGUGCUCCCCCCGCCAUCUCUGUGUGAGUAGAAGAGAGAAGAAGUAUGGCAGUUUGGCCUUUCCCAGAGUGGGACAACAUCCUCCCCACCCUCGUUCCGCUUCCAGACCCUGCCUCUGCCCGCAUUUGCCAUCGACACACACAGCAAAGAGAAGGUGCUCUGUUUGCUUCAGCUGCUUGUGUCUUUUGGAGCCGAGUAAGCCGGAUUGUGAUGGUUGGAGAGUGGCUUCCCUAACAGACGAAAUUAAGAGAGCUACCGGGACUCCCCGCACUCGAACCAUUACGAUUCGAACCAAGGUAAUGGGAGGAGAAUGAGGGGGUAGGAGCAGAAGUGUGUCUCGAUAUUUAUUUAAUUUCAGCGCAGCAUAUUUGCACUCACUGGAACUGUGCCUUGCAAGCAGAUGUUGCAACCAGCUGCGAACUCGGGAGGUGAACAAAAGACGCCGGAGUUCCAUGCGUGGCGGGUGAGGGUAGCAGAGUCCUGGGCAAGGACAGGUCUCCC